rnacentral:rRNA from 1 species
GACAGAGGGUGCAAACGUUGUUCGGAAUUACUGGGCGUAAAGCGCGUGUAGGCUGCUCGGAAAGUCGGAUGUGAAAGCCCUGGGCUCAACCUAGGAAGUGCAUUCGAAACUUCCGAGCUGGAGUACUGGGGAGGAAGGCGGAAUUCUCGGUGUAGAGGUGAAAUUCGUAGAUAUCGAGAGGAACACCGGUGGCGAAGGCGGCCUUCUGGACAGUGACUGACGCUGAGACGCGAAAGCGUGGGGAGCAAACAGG